AGAUUAAGAUAUAAGGAGUAGAUAUUUUCCUGAAGAUCUCAUUUAUGUCUCGAAUGUGAAGGGAACAGAAGCUAUCAUGAUGAUUCUUUAAAGAAAAGAUACAGAAACACAAGCUCCUGUAGACACUUAUGAAAAAGAAGAUGUUUUUGCAAUGAAUAUGUGUGAAUGUGAUAAAUUAUGGCAAAUCAACAUGGUCAAUUAACAACAAUAUGUUCUACAAAUUUCCUAGAUUUAUAAGUUUCAUAACAUUUAGUUGAGGCAAACUAAAGUUAGAUAACGGAAAACGAA
rnacentral:lncRNA from 1 species